rnacentral:sRNA from 1 species
CCCGCCAAGCCUCUGUCGAUCGAUACGCCGGCACGCUCAAAUCGGCGGGU